rnacentral:lncRNA from 10 species
GAGUCUUGCUGCGCAGUCACUCAAGCAAACGGCAGCAAAUGCAAACGCUCCAACGGCCAAAGCAAAUGAGACCCAUGAAGACGCCCCCGCCCCACAUGCUGGCGCCCCCCCAGGCACGGAGGUCUCGGGGUCAUCACUCACCAGCGAAGCCUCCGCACUCCAGAAGAAACAACAGGAGGAACGUGGGUGUUCUUCAAGGACGGCUCAACUAUGAGCGAAACUGUCAUCUUGCAUAGGUGGCCACGUAGGUGGCCAUAACCCCACAUCCCUUCACUGACACAUGGAAUAACACACUCAGAGUGCCCCGUACGGAUCUUUAGACUGAAUCCCUAAGAUUUCACAAGGAAGAAUGAAACACAGCUGAAGGAAUUCUGGCAUUGAAAUGAAUUUGAUGUGGCUGUAUCUAACGCCAUGUUCGCUUGGGAAAAUAUACUGCCUCUAUUGCAGUACAAUUAAUAAGAGUUUAAUGAUGAAACACUGGAAAUAUAUCACAGUUUUAUCUCUCUCUGAUCUUCCUCUAGCCCACGCCGUCCAUGUCCAACUUAUUGAAGAGCAUUGAGAUAACUGGCUUUGAAUCAUCAGACAGGUCACUCUGGAGAGCGGCUUAAAGUCUUUGCACCUCUUUCACAAAGAGCUCCUGGCAUCUAGCAGGCAGCAGCCAGUGAUGCUCCUAAAACCCUGCAAUACACAAGACGGUGCCCAUGAAGAGGAAUUAUGCAGCCCGGACGUCAGGAGAGCUGAGGGUGAGAAGCCCUGCUGUGGAGGGGACUCGCACGACAUUUGUCUUCCCCACACCAGGAGAGGGAGGAGUGAGGGCAAGACGGUGUCUGCUUUGCUCGCCUGCAGAGUCGGCCCUCGAGAAAAGUGGCAUAUUGAAAAGGGCCCUGCA